rnacentral:rRNA from 1 species
CACGUAGGGCGCAAGCGUUGUCCUGAAUUAUUGGGCGUAAAGAGCUCGUAGGCGGUCUGUUGCGUCUGCUGUGAAAACCCGGGGCUUAACCCCUGGCUUGCAGUGGAUACGGACAGACUAGAGGUAGGUAGGGGAGAAUGGAAUUCCCGGUGUAGCGGUGAAAUGCGCAGAUAUCGGGAGGAACACCGGUGGCGAAGGCGGUUCUCUGGGCCUUACCUGACGCUGAGGAGCGAAAGCGUGGGGAGCGAACAGG